rnacentral:rRNA from 1 species
AUACGAGGGGUGCAAGCGUUAAUCGGAAUUACUGGGCGUAAAGCGUUCGUAGGCGGUUUGUUAAGCAAGAUGUGAAAGCCCUGGGCUCAACCUGGGAACUGCAUUUUGAACUGGCAAGCUAGAAUACUGUAGAGGGUGGUGGAAUUUCCAGUGUAGCGGUGAAAUGCGUAGAGAUUGGAAGGAACAUCAGCGGCGAAGGCGGCCACCUGGACAGAUAUUGACGCUGAGGAACGAAAGCGUGGGGAGCGAACAGGAUUAGAUACCCCAGUAGUCC